rnacentral:misc_RNA from 1 species
GAUGAAGAACGUAGCGAAAUGCGAUACGUAAUGUGAAUUGCAGAAUUCAGUGAAUCAUCGAAUCUUUGAACGCAUAUUGCGCUCUCUGGUAUUCCGGAGAGCAUGCUUGUUUGAGUAUCAGUAAACACCUCAACUUCCAUAUCUUUUUUGAAAUGGGAGUUGGACUUGAGUGAUCCCAACGCUUUUCCUCACCGAAAAGUGGCGGGUUACUUGAAAUGCAGGUGCAGCUGGACUUUUCUCUGAGCUUAUAAGCAUAUCUAGUUAGUCUGCCUAAAAAACAGAUUAUUACCUUUGCUGCAGCUAACAUAAAGGAGAUUAGUUCUUGUGCUGACUGAUGCAGGAUUCACAAAGACAGGCUUCGGCCGACUUUGUAAACUCGAUCUCAAAUCAAGUAAGACUACCCGCUGAACUUAAGCAUAUCAAUAAGCGGAGGA